CGCGGCCUAUCAGCUUGUUGGUGAGGUAACGGCUCACCAAGGCUUCGACGGGUAGCUAGUCUGAGAGGACGAUUAGCCACACUGGGACUGAGACACGGCCCAGACUCCUACGGGAGGCAGCAGUGGGGAAUCUUGCGCAAUGGGCGAAAGCCUGACGCAGCAACGCCGCGUGGGGGAUGAAGGCUUUCGGGUUGUAAACCCCUUUCAGCAGGGACGAUUAUGACGGUACCUGCAGAAGAAGGACCGGCCAACUACGUGCCAGCAGCCGCGGUGACACGUAGGCACCAAGCGUUAUCCGGAUUUAUUGGGCGUAAAGAGCUCGUAGGCGGUUUGGUAAGUCGGGUGUGAAAACUCUGGGCUCAACCCAGAGAGGCCACCCGAUACUGCUAUGACUAGAGUACGGUAGGGGAGCGGGGAAUUCAUGGUGUAGCGGUGAAAUGCGCAGACAUCAUGAGGAACACCAGCGGCGAAGGCGCCGCUCUGGGCCGUAACUGACGCUGAGGAGCGAAAGCAUGGGUAGCAAACAGGAUUAGAUACCCUGGUAGUCCAUGCCGUAAACGUUGGGCACUAGGUGUGGGUCUCAACCAACGAGAUCCGCGCCGUCGCUAACGCAUUAAGUGCCCCGCCUGGGGAGUACGG
rnacentral:rRNA from 1 species